UACGUAGGGUGCGAGCGUUGUCCGGAAUUACUGGGCGUAAAGAGCUCGUAGGUGGUUUGUCGCGUUGUUCGUGAAAACCGGGGGCUUAACCCUCGGCGUGCGGGCGAUACGGGCAGACUUGAGUACUGCAGGGGAGACUGGAAUUCCUGGUGUAGCGGUGGAAUGCGCAGAUAUCAGGAGGAACACCGGUGGCGAAGGCGGGUCUCUGGGCAGUAACGGACGCUGAGGAGCGAAAGCGUGGGGAGCGAACAGG
rnacentral:rRNA from 1 species